rnacentral:rRNA from 1 species
AUUGAACGCUGGCGGCAGGCCUAACACACGCAAGUCGAGCGGAUGAAGGGAGCUUGCUCCUGGAUUCAGCGGCGGACGGGUGAGUAAUGCCUAGGAAUCUGCCUGGUAGUGGGGGAUAACGUCCGGAAACGGGCGCUAAUACCGCAUACGUCCUGAGGGAGAAAGUGGGGGAUCUUCGGACCUCACGCUAUCAGAUGAGCCUAGGUCGGAUUAGCUAGUUGGUGGGGUAAAGGCCUACCAAGGCGACGAUCCGUAACUGGUCUGAGAGGAUGAUCAGUCACACUGGAACUGAGACACGGUCCAGACUCCUACGGGAGGCAGCAGUGGGGAAUAUUGGACAAUGGGCGAAAGCCUGAUCCAGCCAUGCCGCGUGUGUGAAGAAGGUCUUCGGAUUGUAAAGCACUUUAAGUUGGGAGGAAGGGCAGUAAGUUAAUACCUUGUUGUUUUGACGUUACCAACAGAAUAAGCACCGGCUAACUUCGUG